rnacentral:rRNA from 1 species
UACACACCGCCCGUCGCACCAUGGGAGUCGGUUCUGCCUUAAGCCAUUUCGCCAACCGCAAGGGGGCAAAUGACCACGGCAGGGUCGAUGACUGGGGUG